rnacentral:lncRNA from 10 species
GUUGAAUUGAAAGAAACACAGUCUAGCCACCAAAAAACAUGGAUCUCUCCUCAUGGCAGCUGUAGGAAACACAGGAACUCCGUGACCUGGAAAAUGUGGGACAACUGCCACAAGGUGACCCUGGAAGGCUGGGGUUGAGUACCAGUAGAAACCUCAUAUUUACCUGGAAGAUUACUUUUAGGAAGCUUGAAGAAUUCUCUCUUCCAACUUGGUUGGAUGGAUCUCACUAUGUUGCCAAGGCUGGCUCGAGAACUCCUGGGCUCAACCAAUCCUCCUGCCUCAGCCUCCCAAAUAGCUGGGACUACAGGUGUGUGCCGCCACUCUCCCCUUUUUAUUGGAAGAGAGUUCAUAGAGGACUGAGCACCUAUUUAGUAUAUGUUUCUAGGUUUGGUUACAAUUUGUUAAGAAAAGUAGAUUUGCAAACUCACUACUUUUGAAAUAUUAAAAAUACAUGCCAUGAAUUUCUACUUCAGCACAGAUUUGGACAACCACCUUAUGUAUGGAAAGAAAAUUUACUGAAUUUAGUGCUAGGCAUAGAUGAGAAUUUCUACUUGAAAAAAGCCCUUAAAACUUUUCCUGCUGUACUGUUCAAUUAUUAAUAUAUUUAAUGCACAGACGCAGUUCACAAUGUGGACUGAUGUGAACUUGUGUUGCAUUGGCUUUAUAAAUUAGGACAGUUGAUUUUACUUAUCCUCCUGAUUUGCCCAGAUAUGAUCUCUAUAAAAAAUCACAGAAAUUUUUGUAAAAUAAUCUUGCAGUUCUUGUUUUUGCUCUUUUUCUUAUUUUUUUCUCAACAAAAAAUUAUUUCUGAUGUUCUAUUUUCACUUAAAUGAAAACAUUCCAUGGAAGAAGUACAAAGAAGUAAUGCUUUGAAAUGACAGUCCCUGAAUUUUCAAGAAAGCCAGAUUCUUCCACAUCCAUAGUCUUCCUUUGUCCUGUUAAUAAUCCUCAUGAUGAGAGGAAAGUUACUGCCUAGUGUUUUAUGACUGGGAGAAUGGAGUAACAAGAAUCUAAGUGGUCAGAAGUAGAGAUUGUCAAGAAUACAGGCUCUCAGGUUUUGGUGUCUGUGCUCCAUCAGCCAAACUUUGCCCUUUUCUAGAAAAGACCCAAGUGGUGAAGUCACUAAUUUUGUCAUUGUUAUUAUGUACUGGAGAAAAAUUAAAUGAUCCACCUCUUUAUCAUAUACUGAACUUUCAUGAUAAGUAACACAUGUGGAGUAACCAAGGCUUAGCCAACUAGGGAUUAAUGUUAGAAAAUGAAUUUUGCUUUCUCUAUACUUGUUUAGAAAUAGCAAAAGUUCUGUAAGGGGAUGGCUAGGGGCCAAUGGGAGAGGUGAAGGACCUUUAUCACAGUAUUUGUUUGGUCCCCAUCAAAGUUCCUGGGUGCCAUGGAAAAGUGUUUUUCUUUUCUGGACCCUUUACUUCAUCUGCAAAAUGGUGAGGCAGUUAAACUCUCUGGCUUGCUUUUAUCUUACAGGCAUUCAGUGAGGUAUAUAACCUGCAAUAUUUCUUAAAAGUUGUAUAGGUUUUGCUGACCUGAAUUCUUUCAUGUUCUUCUUCAUCCUACAUGUGUAACUAUUCCAUGUUAUCGGUCCCCACGAUGAAAGAUAAUGGAAAAACAAUGCCUGUCUUUGUCUGACUCAAAAAGCAUGCUGAAUGGACUUUUCAUCCAUGUGGCUGUGAUCAGUUCCUAAAGCAGAGGAAUCUGCAGCCUAAUGACACAUCAGGAAUUGAUGGAACCCCAGCAGACAGCUUCUAUGAGGAGAUUAGGACUCUCAGAAGAGACACCAGAGGCGUGGCCACACAGAGAAAAAGAUCAUGUGGGGACACAGUGAAAAGGCAGCCAUCAUAAGCCACAGAGAGAGGACUCAGAAGAAACCAACUCUGCUGACACCUUCAUCUUGAACUUCUAGCCUCUAGAACUGUGAAAAAACAAAUUUCUGUUGUUAAGACACCCGGUCUGUGGUAUUUUGUUAAGACAGCCCUAGCAAACUAACACAAUUUUGUACACUAAAUAAAGUCCAAUUCAAUUUUAAUUUUAUAGAAACUGAAACAAAUAAUUUAAAGAUUUACUUAGUAAAUUACUUCAGAUUGGGAUCAAAUGUGUACAUGAAUUAUGAAAAUGUAAGAAAUGGAUAUUUAAAUAAGUAUACCAGAACAUAAAAAUUCCAGUGCCUGGUUUUUUUUUUUUUUUUGAAAGCCACUUAUCCCAACAAUAAAACUGAUGCUCAAAAUA